GGAAAUCUAAAUGCAUCCCGAAGUAGAUACAAUAAUUUCAGAUUAUCACAUGUCCAAAGAAUUCAUAGAGCCGUUAAUAAACAGAAUUUAGGAUGUGACAAUGAUACAACAAAGAAAGAGAAAAGGAAUAGUAAGGAAAAUAUUAACUAUACAUUAGAUAGGAAAAUUUGGGAAUGUUCCAAAACACUGACAGUGAUAAAAUUUCAACUUGAACUGGCUAUUUUCUACUGAGCCUGGAGGUUACGGAUUAGGUACCUGGC
rnacentral:misc_RNA from 1 species